GCAGCUGACUGAGGGGUGACGGACAAUAUGCAGCAGUGGGAGGGUUCGGUAAAACCUACCGUUCUCGGCUGUUCAAUGGGAGGAGCCAAUCGGCGGCGGUGGCAGUGUGAAAGAGCGCUGACAGAAGGGUGACGGGGCUUCGGGGACAGGAAGUGAGCUCGUCAUGAGGAUCAGCGCUCUGUCGACCUUGGACAUCUGAGAAGCGGACAGCGAUAAAAACCACAGAGAGAAAGAGAGAGGAUCUUUUAAUUUUUUUUUUGCUUUUUGUUUAUUUCUUUGUUGGCUUGCAUCCUUGUCCAACAUGCCCUCUCACUGGAACCGCUUAUCUCACAGACGCCCAUCUUACUCCACCACAAGGCCUGUCUCUCCUUGCCUACUCUGCAAGCCGUGAGCCGAAAUACAUUGAAAUCAAACACACACACACACACACACACACACACACACUCACACACACACACACACACACACAAACACAAACACACACACACACCACCACAGGCCUUGUCCUGACCUGCUGACUGCAUGACUGUUUGGCUGGCUGGACUGUUUGGCGGCGUGCGACCAUGAAGAGACCCAAGCAGCAGUCGCAGCCCCUCAGCUUCCUCAGCUUCUUCAGCCGCAAGCCCAAAUCCGACCCCAGGAUCGAAAAGCCCUCAGGAGCAGUGAGCCAGGAGGUGGCUAUCACGCUAACGCCCAAUGAGCAGGAACCAGCAGAGCAGAACGCUGCAGCAGAGAGCCAGGGGGAGAUGACUGGCAGUGGUGUGGAUGGUUGUGGAGAGGGAGGAGGAG